AGUCGAGGGGCAGCAUGGUUUGUAGCAAUACAGAUUGAUGGCGACCGGCGCACGGGUGAGUAACGCGUAUGCAACUUACCUAUCAGAGGGGGAUAGCCCGGCGAAAGUCGGAUUAAUACCCCAUAAAACAGGGGUCCCGCAUGGGAAUAUUUGUUAAAGAUUCAUCGCUGAUAGAUAGGCAUGCGUUCCAUUAGGCAGUUGGCGGGGUAACGGCCCACCAAACCGACGAUGGAUAGGGGUUCUGAGAGGAAGGUCCCCCACAUUGGUACUGAGACACGGACCAAACUCCUACGGGAGGCAGCAGUGAGGAAUAUUGGUCAAUGGCCGAGAGGCUGAACCAGCCAAGUCGCGUGAAGGAAGAAGGAUCUAUGGUUUGUAAACUUCUUUUAUAGGGGAAUAAAGUGGAGGACGUGUCCUUUUUUGUAUGUACCCUAUGAAUAAGCAUCGGCUAACUCCGUGCCAGCAGCCGCGGUAAUACGGAGGAUGCGAGCGUUAUCCGGAUUUAUUGGGUUUAAAGGGUGCGUAGGUGGUGAUUUAAGUCAGCGGUGAAAGUUUGUGGCUCAACCAUAAAAUUGCCGUUGAAACUGGGUUACUUGAGUGUGUUUGAGGUAGGCGGAAUGCGUGGUGUAGCGGUGAAAUGCAUAGAUAUCACGCAGAACUCCGAUUGCGAAGGCAGCUUACUAAACCAUAACUGACACUGAAGCAC
rnacentral:rRNA from 1 species